CGGAUAGAGGCCCGCUGGAUUGGGUGUUUAGCUGUUAACUAAAAUUUUACGGGAUCGAGGCCCGUCUAUCUAG
rnacentral:tRNA from 3 species